rnacentral:lncRNA from 1 species
CCGUAUAACUGCAAAUCUGACAUUCCUUUUGAGUUGUUUAACCAGCACUCAAGCCACAUGCAACACACUGAUCAGAUUUCAUAUUCAAAUCCCAAAUCCUCCCUUUAUCUCCAUUCACCAACCAGACAUAUGAAGAAAUGAGGAAAAUAAAGCAUUAGAAGCAAUUGAAGAAAAUCAUUCUCCUGCUCCUAUUUUUUUAAGCAUCCUAAACACAAUCGCUGUUAAAAAUGAUUUUCGCGCAAAUUUCUCAAAGCUUCAGAAGACCCGUGAGUAAGUAAUAAGAAAACUGUAAGAUUUUCUGUAGAUUACAACUUGAUGUAGUAAAUUGACUUUUUUUUUAAAAAGAAAAAUAUUCAAUCAGUUCAGAUGCUGAAAACUCUUAUCGCUGAAGUUCAACCAGUAAGAAGUUGAUAAAGAGGAGCACAAAUUAACCAAACAAAUAUCACUUCACAAAAGAUCCUGCCGGAAAACUCACCUCAAAACCGAUAAGUCGCCGGAAAAAUCUAGAACUUAGCCAAAAACCGAUACUUGAACGGCACAAAGACAGCAGUAGAACCCUAAUUUGAUGCUCGGAAAGACAAAUCUCGGAGUUUCUGGAUAGAGAGAGAAAGAGAACAAACA